AUUGAACGCUGGCGGCAGGCCUAACACAUGCAAGUCGAGCGGAUGAAGGGAGCUUGCUCCUGGAUUCAGCGGCGGACGGGUGAGUAAUGCCUAGGAAUCUGCCUGGUAGUGGGGGAUAACGUCCGGAAACGGGCGCUAAUACCGCAUACGUCCUGAGGGAGAAAGUGGGGGAUCUUCGGACCUCACGCUAUCAGAUGAGCCUAGGUCGGAUUAGCUAUUUGGUGGGGUAAAGGCCUACCAAGGCGACGAUCCGUAACUGGUCUGAGAGGAUGACCAGUCACACUGGAACUGAGACACGGUCCAGACUCCUACGGGAGGCGGCAGUGGGGAAUAUUGGACAAUGGGCGAAAGCCUGAUCCAGCCAUGCCGCGUGUGUGAAGAAGGUCUUCGGAUUGUAAAGCACUUUAAGUUGGGAGGAAGGGCAGUAAGUUAAUACCUUGCUGUUUUGACGUUACCAACAGAAUAAGCACCGGCUAACUUCGUG
rnacentral:rRNA from 1 species